rnacentral:misc_RNA from 1 species
CUCUCUCUCUCUCUCCCUCCCUCUGUUGUCUGUAGAAUUUACACGAUGAAGCAUUUUAUGCAGCCAAGAAAUGCGAUCUUGAGGGAAGCAAACGCCAAUGGUGAGCCGCCAUUACAGUCUCCGAACCCUAGCUCUAACAAAUUGAAGCCAUCGCCACCGCCGUCUUCUUCACGGAGGCAAAAGUUGUCUAAAGAAAAUGCUCCGCCGUCAGAUCUGAACUCUAUGCCACCGCUAUCAGAUCAAAAACCCUCGCCGUCCCCUUCUGCCAAGAUGAAGAAUCCGUUGCCGCCUAGGCCUCCAUCCUCCAACCCUCUAAAGCGCAAACUCAGCAUGGAAACAGUGCCGGAAAAUGCUCUCCCAGAUUCUGGCGUCAAGGUUAUUGUGCGAAUGCGACCAUUAAACAAGGAUGAAGAGGAAGGGGAAAUGAUAGUUCAAAAAGUAUCUGAUGAUUCUUUGUCAAUCAAUGGCCAGACUCUCACAUUUGACUCAGUUGCUGACACACAAUCGACACAACUAGACAUUUUCAAUCUUGUUGGAGCUCCUCUUGUUGAAAAUUGUCUUGCCGGAUUUAACAGUUCAGUAUUUGCCUAUGGACAGACGGGGAGUGGAAAGACCUACACUAUGUGGGGACUAGCUAAUGCGCUCCUGGAAGAAAACUUAUCCAGUGAUCAACAAGGUUUAACUCCCCGUGUCUUUCAAAGACUCUUUGCCCGCAUAAAUGAGGAGCAAAUUAAACAUGCCGACAAACAACUCAAGUAUCAGUGUCGUUGCUCUUUUCUUGAGGUCAAGGACUGUUUGUUUUGCUGUAAUUCACCUGUUAGCAGCAUAUUUUGCACCCCAUGAUUCUUCAGUUUAUUUUUGCAGAUUUAUAAUGAGCAAAUAACAGAUUUGCUGGAUCCAAACCAACGAAACCUCCAGAUAAGAGAAGAUGUGAAAUCUGGUGUCUAUGUUGAAAAUCUAAGAGAGGAAUAUGUAUUUACAAUAAAAGAUGUGACUCAGCUUCUGAUGAAGGGUUUGUCCAACCGGAGGACUGGUGCAACUAGUAUAAAUGCUGAGAGUUCUCGUUCACAUAGUGUUUUCACUUGUCUUGUGGAAUCUCGAUGCAAGAGCAUGUCAGACGGCUUAAGCAGCUUAAAAACGAGUAGAAUAAAUCUUGUUGAUCUAGCUGGGUCAGAGCGACAGAAGUUAACUGGUGCUGCAGGGGAACGUUUGAAGGAAGCGGGGAAUAUAAAUAGAUCUCUGUCACAGCUUGGGAACUUGAUAAACAUUCUUGCUGAAGUUUCCCAAACAGGAAAGCAAAGGCAUAUCCCUUACAGAGACUCCAGGUUGACAUUUUUGUUGCAAGAAUCUCUUGGUGGCAAUGCA